GAGGGUAUAGCUCAGUGGUAGAGUGCCUGCUUUGACGCAUGAGGCCCUGGGUUCAAUCCCCAGUAACUCCA
rnacentral:tRNA from 1 species